GUUCAGAGAAGGGCUACUAAACUGGUUCAUGGAUUGCGGGAUAAAACUUACCAGGAAAGGUUAAAGGAUCUUAACAUGUAUAGCUUGGAGGAAAGACGAGACAGGGGGGAUAUGAUAGAAACAUUUAAUUAUAUAAAGGGAAUCAACACAGUAAAGGAGGAGACUAUAUUUAAAAGAAGAAAAACUACCACAACAAGAGGACAUAGUCUUAAAUUAGAGGGACAAUGGUUUAAAAAUAAUAUCAG